CUUUGGCGUUACUCUCCAUCUUCUUAGAUCUGGAAAUGCUUUAUGUUGUACACGACCUUUCCCUUCUGCACCUUUUCUCCUCUCCCUGCCUCUAGGUCUUUGAGGAUUAUGUGUGUAGCUCUCUGUUAUUCAGCUACUUAACUCUUUCCUUUCCAGGUUCUUCUGGUUCUUUUAACCUCCCAAAUUCUGGGGACAUGUUCAUGAACAUGCAGAGUCUGAAUGGGGAUUCUUACCAAGGGUCCCAAGUCGGAGCCAAUGUGCAAUCACAGGUGGAUACCCUCCGUCAUGUUAUCAAUCAGACGGGAGGCUACAGUGAUGGCCUUGGAGGAAACUCACUGUACAGUCCACAUAAUUUAAAUGCUAAUGGAGGCUGGCAGGAUGCAACAACUCCAUCUUCUGUGACUUCGCCUACAGAAGGCCCAGGAAGCGUGCACUCUGAUACCUCUAACUAAUCUCUGGCAACACUUUUCCUUGAGCUGACAUGCCUUGAUAAGUGCAUUCAGAGCAAUAGGAGGAAAAGGAAAGCGUUUUUGUAGCCCACCAUCUACAGCUUUACUGUAAAACCUUGUCUUAUUAGAGAACUUGGUAAAUCAGUUUUUUAAGGAAUCAUAAUCAUUUGUAUUUAUACUUAAAAACACACAAUGUUAAAAAAGCACUUUAUCCAAUUAGGCCAAGAUUUAACAUUGUUGACAGUCCUGUAGCUAUUUUAUCAUAAUUUAUUAUCAAUAUUUUACAUUAAUGGUCUCACAGUUGCCAAUUACUUGGCCUUAAGGGUAAAAAGUACAAUGUAUGCUAAACCUCAAUCGUUAAAGCAGAUGCAAAGAUUCACCUCACCUAAACUGAAUUUCUUGCAUAUUUCCAUCGCAGACUUUGAUUGUCUUUCUUUCAUAUCGCUAAUGGGGUUGGAAUAAAGGAGCUGUUUGGCUAUCUCAGUUAACCAUGGUUUGUUAAAGAAUCUUCCUGGUCACGUUUGUGUUUCGAUCUCUUGUGUUAUAAUUAGAUCAGAGACUGGUAGCAUCUUUUCUCUCUGAGUCCAGAGUCUGCUCGGUAAUUAAAUUAUGGAUCCAGAUUGUUCUGAGAGAUGAAGAAUACUUGCUGCUGAUAGAGGUGAACACGAGAUCCAUCUGGGGUUGUACAGUGUGCGCUGGGUGCUGCACGGGCUUGUCAAGGUUUGCUACGUCCUCUGGGCAUCCACAAGGGCCCUGCUCUCUGGAGUGUUGUAUAUAGUGUAGCAAAAGAGUAUUUAUACAUCUCACCAAUCAAAACACAGCUUUAUUACCUCAUGCGAACUCAUACAAACCAAUAGAAUUUCAACAUGUUCUGUAGCUUAGAGUGCUCACUUACUACCUCUGAACAAUACUCACGCUGUAGUUUGUCUCUUUCUUACCUUUUUGCAUCUUGUAAUUAACUCUUUGUUUCCCUUCAUAAAAUGUAAUGUACAUUGUAAUCUUUUAAAAGAAAAAAAAAAAAAUCAGGGUUGCAUUUGCAACUUCUAAAAAACCGAGAGUGGAAACAUUGGGUCUUCAAUGAACACAGGAUCAGUAGAACUGUUGUAAAUACUGAGAAAGCAUUUUGAAUGUUCUUCAUCUUGUUACUAAUCCAUGCAAAAAAGAAAAAAAGAAAAAAAAGCGGCGCCGAUUGUGAUGCAUUCAGAGUCCAGUAUUCGGUACUGUAUAUUUCACCCUGUGCGCUGGGGCCCCCUCUCCUUCCUCUCUUUUUGUAUUGUAUGCGAUUCUGAAACUGAUUGAGUCAUGAAAAUAAUUUGUGGUGGUGAUUCUAAUGUAUUAAAAUGUUUCGUGUUCCUUUCUAACUGGAUUACACCCUGGAUUGAAAAAGUCUUCCUCGUGGUAGCUCUAUGUAGUUUCAAACAUGAAUAAACUUUUUGCUUUCAUGAUUAAA